CAGAUCGCGUGCUGCUCGUUAGGGGUGUCGCCUUAGAGAUCGGGACUGGCUGGGAUUGCGAAAGGAUCAACAUGCCUUUGGCUAGAGAUUUACUCCACCCGUCCUUGGAAGAGGAAAAGAAAAAACAUAAGAAGAAACGUCUAGUUCAAAGCCCAAAUUCCUAUUUUAUGGAUGUAAAAUGCCCAGGUUGCUACAAGAUUACCACGGUUUUCAGCCAUGCUCAGACGGUGGUUCUUUGUGUAGGCUGUUCAACAGUGUUGUGCCAGCCAACGGGAGGAAAGGCCAGACUCACAGAAGUUGACGCAUUUGACUGAAGACAGUUUUCAUCAUUGCUGGCUAAGCAACAGAAAACUAAUGUAUAAAUUAAAAUGCCAGAGGUUUUGAUUUGGUGUUCAUUUAGAAGAAAGCAACACUAAUGAUCACACAACCUCUUGAAUUUGUGUUCUAUCGCAGAAAGCCUUAUCAGUUCAAUAAUUCCGGUUAAUCUACCAAGAUAAUGUAAUUAUGUUUAAUUUUGUAAGGUAUACAACAGUCAUCUCCUAUUUUGGUGUCAGUUUUUCAAUAAAGUUUUGAUUAUGGGCAAA